rnacentral:rRNA from 2 species
CUUUGCAAUGUGCGAAGCACGACAAGGUUAAUCCGAGUGGUUUCUGCUAAAGGAACCUUUUGUCGGUCCUAGAACACCGAUGAAUAAGGGGUGGGCAAGUUCUGGUGUCAGCCGCCGCGGUAAAACCAGCACCUCAAGUGGUCAGGAUGAUUAUUGGGCCUAAAGCAUCCGUAGCCGGCUCUGUAAGUUUUCGGUAAAUCUGUAUGCUCAACAUACAGGCUGCCGGGAAAUACUGCAGAGCUAGGGAGUGGGAGAGGUAGACGGUACUCGGUAGGAAGGGGUAAAAUCCUUUGAUCUAUUGAUGACCACCUGUGGCGAAGGCGGUCUACCAGAACACGUCCGACGGUGAGGGAUGAAAGCUGGGGGA